CAGUCAUAUCUUUACAUCUUGUCUGAAGGACAAGCAUAAGAGACUUAAUCAAGUGCUUUGCUGAAAUCUAGGUGUGCUGUGUCUAAAUUGUGCUAUCAUGGGUGACCAUUCAUUCAUGGAUGAUAAUGAACUUGAACCAGCAGUAAGUUUAAAUUAGGUUCAAUAUCUGUAACAUUUGAAAUAGGCUUCCAUUGGAAAUACUUAAUUAAAAAAAGUUUCAGUGCUUGAAAGGGUAGGCUUUAGUUAUCUGUAAAAUUUACUGGGGUCAAAUAUUUUAUUUCAUGUGAUAACUUGUUCCUGUAAUACUACUCUUUUUUCUGUUCCCCAAACCCAAGUUGGAGGUCACUACUCUUUAUUCUCUGCAACAAGAUCAUAGAAGCCACAGAAUUUUAGAUGCAGAAAGGAGCUAACCCUUGGAACACUGAGAGCCCUUGCAUGAACCACAGAAAAUAAAAGGCAUAAUUUGUCAGACAUUAAAAUAACAAAAGGGCUUUGAGAAAGGAUUAUGGUUCUGAAGUCCCACCACUAGAAUGAAUUUACUCUCUUACUGGUGCUGUAAUCUGGAAUUCUAAGAGCCAGCAGGGAAGAAAUACAUGUUGUAAUUACCUUAAACAAGCGGGCAAUGAUGAUUGCUUCUCAAGCUGCAUGUUUGAGGACAUGAUGAAAGGUGGGAAGAAGACAUAGCC
rnacentral:lncRNA from 1 species